rnacentral:rRNA from 1 species
AUUGAACGCUGGCGGCAUGCCUUACACAUGCAAGUCGAACGGCAGCGGGCCUUCGGGUGCCGGCGAGUGGCGAACGGGUGAGUAAUGCAUCGGAACGUGCCAUUGAGUGGGGGAUAACGUAGCGAAAGUUACGCUAAUACCGCAUAUUCUGUGAGCAGGAAAGCAGGGGACCGCAAGGCCUUGCGCUCUUUGAGCGGCCGAUGUCAGAUUAGCUAGUUGGUGAGGUAAAGGCUUACCAAGGCGACGAUCUGUAGCGGGUCUGAGAGGAUGAUCCGCCACACUGGAACUGAGACACGGUCCAGACUCCUACAGGAGGCAGCAGUGGGGAAUUUUGGACAAUGGGCGCAAGCCUGAUCCAGCCAUGCCGCGUGAGUGAAG